UAGUUUAAACAUUCAAAAACUAAAACAUAAAUAUUAGUAGAGUGGCUAAACAUACAAAACAUUAUGUCAAAAUAAUAGGUUCAUGAAAUAUCUAAAUAUUCCGAAGUAUUUGAUGUUGCUUCAUGAUCCUUAAUUAGUGCUAGCUAGACUCACUUAAGAAGGAAUGCCUAACAUCUCUUGGGGAUUGUAUGUUUGUUGCCUGAAAAAACAUACAAGACAAUGAUUAGCAAUAUCCAAGUACUCCUAACACUCAACUAAAAACCAGUGACACAACAAAUAAUCAUAUAUUGAUCCACCACCUAUAAUCAUGUUUUAGUAAACAAACACCUAAAGCUAAAAAUUGUUGGUAAUCAAAUUACAUGAUACAUUUUAUAAAAACAUUUUUUUCAAAACUAUUUUACAAAAGGGAUAUUAAAAACUAAAAUCCAAAACAGUAUCAAUUAGACCUUGAAAAAUACUUUCAAAUUUAGUUUUAAUGCAUAUUAUAUCACAUAGGAUCAAGCUCUCCUUAUAUGAACUCUAGAUGGUAAAAAGUAGUCCAUGAAACAUAUGAAUGUAUACAAUAAACGUGAAUAAAAUUCAAGUCACAUGAGCUAAAUAUAAAUAUUACAAAAUAAAGUACACAUAAUAAUCAUAUCAGGAUGCAGGAGAUUCAGUUAUUUCAAACAAGAGAUUAACCUUCAGAAAAUGCAAAGCAGUUCCAAGAUAUGACAAUAUCACAAAAGAUUUUGGGUUGAUUUGGAAAGCCAUAGGAAAAUGAUGUUCUGAGAACUCAAUUGCGCAUUACCAAAAUAUUUUAAGAUACGUAGUGAUGUCAUACCAAUUGCGCAUUACCAAAAUAAGUGACUGAAGCUCAACUAAAUCCAGAUGCAUAAC
rnacentral:lncRNA from 1 species